UCAUAGGGAUACAUCUGAUAUUUCUUACGGACAGCUGAAAAAAGUUUUCCGGUUGUAACAGGAUCAAGAGAAGUGGCAACGACAACCUUAGCAUUGCAAUCACACUCGAUCGGAACGCUCUUAUCGCGCCUCCUGUUUUCGCCGUACCUCGUUCGCAUCCUUAUUUC
rnacentral:sRNA from 1 species